ACCUUAAAGCUAGCCUAAACACCCAAAAACCAUAGCAAUAUUAAACUCAACACCCUCCAAAACUUAACUUUAAAACAUUUUCAUGUUCCCAGUAUAGGUGAUAGAAAAGAAACUUAGAGCCAUAGAAAUAGUACCGCAAGGGAAAGCUGAAAAAGAAAUGAAACAAACCAUUUAAGUAGUAAAAAGCAAAGAUUAGACCUUGUACCUUUUGCAUCAUGAUUUAGCAAGAACAACUGGGCAAAAAGACUUUAAGUCCACCCUCCCGAAACUAGACGAGCUACUUCGGAGCAGCAUAUUAGAGCAAACCCGUCUCUGUGGCAAAAGAGUGGGAAGACUCCCAAGUAGAGGUGAAAAGCCUACCGAGCCUAGUGAUAGCUGGUUGUCCAAGAAAAGAACUUAAAUUCUGCAUUAAUUUAAUCCAACCUACCAAACAUACUACAUUCACUAAGGUAUAUUGUAAUAAUUAAUAGUUAUUCAAAAAAGGUACAGCUUUUCUGAACUAAGAAACAACUUUCCAAGUUGGGUAAUGAUCAUAAUUUACUAAGGUGACACACCCCAGUGGGCCUAAAAGCAGCCACCUGUAAAGCAAGCGUCAUAGCUCCAGCCCUCACCUAACCAAUAAUCCAGAUAAUAUUAUCAAAACCCUCUUCCCAAUAUUGGACAAUUUUAUCAUUAGAUAAAAGAACUUAUGCUAAAAUGAGUAAUAAGAGGUUAAACCUCUCCUGACACCAGUGUCAAUCAGAAAGAAUUAAAUCACUGAUAAUUAACCGAUGCCAACCUGAGGCUAACAUACAAAAAGAAAGUUAACAGGAAAACCCCAUCAGUAACAUCGUUAACCCAACACAGGAGUGUCCACAGGAAAGAUUAAAAGAAAAUAAAGGAACUCGGCAAACACAAACUCCGCCUGUUUACCAAAAACAUCGCCUCUUGCCAUAUAAGUAUAAGAGGUCCCGCCUGCCCUGUGAUAAUCUUUUUAACGGCCGCGGUAUCUUGACCGUGCGAAGGUAGCGUAAUCACUUGUCUUUUAAUUGAAGACCCGUAUGAAAGGCACCACGAGAGUUUAUCUGUCUCUAUUUUCUAAUCAAUGAAAUUGAUCUUCUCGUGCAGAAACGAGAAUAAUACCAUAAGACGAGAAGACCCUAUGGAGCUUUAAACACUUAAGUUAAUUAUUUAACCCCAAAAAAUACCUCCACGGACAUAACAAUUUUAUAAAUAAUUUAACCUAACUUGUUUUUGGUUGGGGCGACCAAGGGGAAAAACAGAACCCCCUUAUCGAUUGAGCACUAAAUAUGCUUAAAAAUUAGAAUAACAAUUCUAAUUAAUAGAACAUCUACCGAACAAUGACCCAGGAUAUCACUAAUCCUGAUCAAUGAACCAAGUUACCCUAGGGAUAACAGCGCAAUCCUUUCUUAGAGUUCCCAUCGCCGAAAGGGUUUACGACCUCGAUGUUGGAUCAGGACAUCCUAAUGGUGCAGCCGCUAUUAAGGGUUCGUUUGUUCAACGAUUAACAGUCCUACGUGAUCUGAGUUCAGACCGGAGAAAUCCAGGUCAGUUUCUAUCUAUGAUGUUAUUUUUCCCAGUACGAAAGGACCGGAAAAAUGAAGCCAAUACUCUCGGCACGCUUCCUUCCCAUCUAUUGAAAUUAACUAAAAUAGAUAAGGGAGGACUAUAAGCGAGCCAGAGAUAAUGGUU
rnacentral:rRNA from 1 species